rnacentral:lncRNA from 1 species
GGUGGCCUGGUUGAGGGUGGUGGUGGCACGGGGGGCUGGGGUGAGGGAGGUGGUGGUGGCACAGGUGGCUGGGGGGAAGGAGGUGGUGGUGGCACAGGUGGCUGGGGGGAAGGAGGUGGUGGUGGCACAGGUGGCUGGGGGGAAGGAGGUGGUGGUGGUGGUGGUGGUGGCACAGGUGGCUGGGGUGAGGGAGGUGGUGGUAACACGGGGGGCUGGGGUGAGGGAGGUGGUGGUGGCAUGAGGAGCUGGAUUGAAGGAGUAGGUGGCGUCCUGGGGGGUGGCCUUGGGGAGGGAGGCGGUCGCACAGUGGGGGGUCGGGUUGAAGGAGGUGGCGACGGCACAGGGGGCCGGAAUGGGGGUGGUGACGGGCUGGGGGGACGCGGUGAAGGGGUAGGCGGCGGUGGCUGGACUUCCAGGGUGCUUAGGGAAGGGCACUCCGAGGGUGAGGCCAAGAAGCGGCAGAGGUGCACCCUCAGGGUGUCCGUACCGACCCAGGAGCCCCCAUACACGACCAACUGAUAGGCGCCCAUUGCCAACUGCGACAUGGGAUCGACGGUGUUGAUGAACUGGAUUUUGCGGUCGCUGUUUGUGAAGGUCGUGGGGUAGCCAUUGUCCUGCAGGAAUGUAUGUCGAUGGUACAGUUAAGGAUACAAUCCAAGCACGCUUAUUGAACGCCUAAACAGUAAUAAAGCAAUAGCAGAUCUGUUAACCCCUGGAACCAUGCUCUCUUAAGGGAGUUAUGUACAUUACGGAGGCAUGAAGCCCUCACCAUGGUUGCAUUUACUUCGUGGAUGUUGACCUUGGAUGCAUAUAUGGUGUUGCUUAGGCCAGCAUCGACAUUCUUGGCAACACGGACGGCGAUGUAAAGGUUUCGACCCGUUAAUGUAUUGUUGUAGACAGGUAGCCAAUCGGGAGUCACCCGCACGUAGUUGUUGUUGCCAGUCAGGUAGGUGGCAGGCAGUGUAAAGGUCCGAGCUGUGCCUGGCAGCAAGGCACUGCUGUUCAGCUGGUCACCUCCGACCGCAGGUGUGGCCCAGCCCAUGCGGGAGAUCUCCGCAGCGUUGGGGCAAGCGUCACCACGGCCCAUAGUUGUGGAGUAGUCGCCAUACUCUGUGCCGUUUUGCCAAGAGUGCCAUAGCCCUGCGCACGUGCAUGGAUGCAUCAUGCAUUUCAUAGGCAGGGCACCAUUGCAUGUCAGAGUGUUCAUCAUGAUUGGAGAUAGAGCAGCAUAUUUUGACCUUGGUUUGGGAUUAUUACCAAUGAAUAAUUCAGUCCAAGGGCCCCCCGGCGUAAUUCGUCAACACAUUUUUGGAGGAAGCUCUGAGCAGGCAAGAGAAGGCAACAUUAGGCGAUGACGAUUCCCCUAGAUCUACGGGGACAUCUUCUGUCUAGACAGAAGAUGUUGCCUAUGGCCAGCUAUAUACAUGCGAGCUUGUGCCAAAUGUUCGCACACAACCAUUGGCCAGGGUAACAAUAACUUAGGUUUCCCGGUUUCCCAGUGCCGUGCAAUGCACGGUCCGUUGUGGCCUGAUGGCCCUACCCUGGGGUAUUCCCUUGGGGUCAGGGGGUCUUGCUGUAUGUAAUACCUACACACAACAACAGGCAAGCAAGUUGCAUUGAGGGUGUGCUUCCCUCGCCAAGCUUAAGUAUUGUUACCUGCUACAAAUCUAGUCAGGAAAAAUACCUAAAAUCCGAGGUAAAUCAAUGUACUUCUGCUCUUCAAUUACUUUUAUCACACACAUGUACCCAUGUCAUGGUUAUAGAGAAUAAGCAUGCACCCCGUGCUUACAUACCAUAGUUGUGUAUGGCCUCCUGCAUUACUGUUGCCCAUCUGUACACUCCAUUGGCUGAUGUCUGCAGGAAGGUCUGUCGGCCCGGCAAUACUGCCAGCCCUGACCAGGGGCACACUGGUUGAAGGCCCGGUGGCACUAUGUAGGUGUAGUGGCUGAAGGAUGAGAAGGCUACAGUGCCGAUGAGGGCCUUGGUGGCAGUGUCUGCCAGAGCCGAGAUUGCCCAGGCGGCACAUGUAGUCGUGAUAGGUGUCGAACAUUGAUGCCUCACACGUACCACCCGAAAGGCGGUUAUGUUGAGCCCGAACCUUCCAUAGGAGCACUGUGUGUACUUGUCGGCAAGGCCCCCAUUGCCAUCCCCAUUCGGGCCCAGGUAGAGGGUCCGGAUUUCGGUCUCAUUUAUCGUUGCUGGCAGGCCACAGUCAGUGUAAUCGAUGAUCAUGACUAGCAGGCUCUGGAAUAUGGCUGUCCCGAGGGUUGAGGGGGGCCCCGGUGCAACGGAGAUGAUGGUAAGGAUUGUCGAGUUAUCGGGCGUGCAGUCGCCAGUGCUCACUUUGUAGAGGCAGUCCUGUGGAUGUACAUGCACCAGGCCACCAGCAGCAGGUAGAAGUAAGGAAGCAGAGGGUAACAGUGUAUGAAAGAGAGGGCUUUGUGUGUUUGCUUGGGUGAUGCCUUAGCUAGUGGCCGCCGCUGGCAGAUGCUUCCAACGAUGCCUCGAUUUCCAAAUCCACCGAAGCACCUUUGACAGGCAAUGGUAAAUUGAAGUAUGCUAACCGACAUCGUAAUCAUGAUUGAGCUGGUAAACGCUUUGGUAAUUGCAUAUCCUUAGGUACCAGCCACCCUUUGUGACCAUGCAUGUAACACCAGGCAAAGAGUACUCAGGGAGAUGCCAGGGGAGCUGAUCCCUUCUUACAUUCCUCCCCCCCUCGAGCAAACGUCCUCAGGCGCCCCCGGGCAUAUCCCGUAGGACUUUUGGCUGCUUGAGAUCCCGUAGGAUUGUGAGUUGAUUUAUUAUUGUGACAUUUUGUCAGUCCCCAUCCGAGAUGGAGGUCUUGUUUUACUCAGCUGGUAGACUUCUCACCCACCCAGGCAUCCACAUUUGGGGUAAGAGUUUGCAGCAUCUAGCCUGGUGUGCGAUUUGUUCGCUACCAGAUUCAAUCCAGGGAAUUCCCACCUCCUAGCAGUUCGCAGCAAUGUAACACCAGGCAAGAGUACUCAGGGAGAUGCCAGGGAAGCUGAUCCCUUCUUACAAUGUGUAUCCACCGAUGGUUACUCUUCUAAAGUCGUGGUAUAACAUCCUGCCGCUAGGCUACAGAGCUCAAGUUCACAUAGACUCACCAACUGUACGGCGGAUCCAGGAGUUACAGGUGUGCCUCCCGAGUCCGUUUUGGGUGGUUUGUAGCCGCCCAUGAGCGGUAUCAGCACACCGUAGCUGUCGCGAAUCAACCACUGAUCCACAUUGUCCAACGUGAUGUAAACCAGCUCUCCCGCAAUCUGCGUCCUUACAUAAUUGUCGGCGGGUCCAUUUGGUGCUAGCACACCAAAGCCAUGGACAACUGCGUGUGACACCCCGAGCGGUAUAAAGGUUAGCGGGCAGACUGCUGAUAAGUCGGUAGCUGGGAAGGUAUGCAUGCGAUCAUAUCUGCAUGAUAGAACAAUUAAUAGGUAAGAUUUGAGGUGGCGCUGUUAUGGUAUGCGCAGAUCAUGCACGUAGCUAGUCGUAAUUUGUUACUAUGUCGUCGCCGUCCUGUGUCGACAUGUUAUCGCAAUGCGCGCCGUUCAGUCAGCAGCAAAACAACACGUUAAGUUUCGUGUUGCGGUCAGAAUCAUCCCAGAGCAUUCUAUAGUUGGUUUUGAGCCUACUCUAUUGAUGAUACAUAUGCCAGCAGGUAUCCGUCCUCCUUACCUUCGGCGACAAUAAAGCACAGUAUACACGACGUCAACAGAAUCCUUGCCAUUCUGGCUAUAAGCUUAAAGAGCCUAAAAGCAAUGUUCAAAUAGUGCUUUGCGUUGUAUUACCUGUUCAUAACAGAAAGCGUAUGCAUCGGUGCUACGUCCCUGCUGCGACUGAUGAGGCAUGUACUGCUGGAACUUCUAUAACGUGAUUGAAACCGCAAAAGCUCCUCAAAUGGCCUUCCUUUAUUUGACGUUCAUGUACGGAGGCUUGUUUGGUACGGACGGCGGGAUGCUUUCCACGUUAUUUUGCUUCUACUGCCUCCUUUCUUUCGCGAUCAACAGCAAGUUAAUUCAGUGCAUUUAGUAUCUAUGUUAGUAAAUCUUUAAGUUAAUUACUGAGUUUUGCUACAUCAUAUGCAGGAGUAAGUAGCAGCAGUGGAACGUACUGGCCUGCUGGUCGUUUUCCUGCGGCCUACCUCGCGGCUUGCUUAUCCGCAGGAGGAUCGAUUAGUUUCGAAGGUACGCAUGCAUGUGCUUAAAUGACUAACUGCUUAUGCAUCUCAUAAUUUCGUCCCUACAUUUUCCUUGACUGGUAGUUAUGGAAUACGCCUUUAAAUGGCGAUGUUUGAUUGACUCCAUGCAUGCAUGUCCGCCUGCUGCUGGCUAGGACCUGCUGCUAUGGGCGAAGGGACGAAAAGACGGCGCGCACGUACGUUUUCCUCUGCAACUGACAAAACUUAGCUAGACACAACCAAAAUAUUUGUGUCUUCUUGAUAAAUUGGUCUAUUUUGGAGCCUUUUCUGUUAAGAAAAGGCUGCAAAGGUUGAUUAGCGUACUGCUAGAUAGCGAUUAUUAGUCUGCUGGGCGAGCCACCCACAAAUGGACAACUGGGCGACUGGUUUCCAGGACACCAGGCCUGGAUCCCCUUAAGGAUGGCUGGUUCGGGACUAGAUCGGCUGGCAUUCUGUGUUGCAUAACUGGCAUUCCAUGCUAAAUAAUUUCAACUUUGUAGCCAGCGUUUGUCUUAUGAAGCCGUUUCGGGGUCGCUUUGUCCGUGUCCUCAGAUGACCUUCACAGCCCUUUCAUCACAACUCCCAUGCCGGAGAGACCCACGUUCACCACACGAUAUGCAUUUCUCUUUGAGUAAUGACAGCUACAACAGGAUGCUCCAGGUGGCGCAUACUACGUGUGAUGUAUGUGCCGUUCGAGUUUGAUGUUCGACUUAUUAUACGCCGACCACGCCGCAUGCUACAAGGACGCAUCAAGCACCUGUUGGAAUUAAAUUAUAGCACUAGAGCCGUUGGUCUUGACGGCGACCUCGUUUCCAUUUCCAUGGUAAAGGUUUUGACUAUGCUAAUACGCAAACUUUGUUGGCCAAAAUAGAUGCAUUAAAGUAUCCAUAAGCAGCCUAGAACGCCUGAAAGUCUCAAAGGGCAGCGCCCGGGCUUGGCCUGGAAUGCCUGGAGGACUGGAAGGGUGAUGCCCGGGGUUCGCCUGGAACGCCAGGAGGGGCCCUGGAUGGCUUGAGGGUUGGAAGGGUGUUGGGGCCCUGGAUGGCUUGAGGGUUGGAAGGGUGUUGGGGCCCUGGAUGGCUUGAGGGUUGGAAGGGUGUUGGGGGCCUUGAAGGGUGGAAGGGGCAGUACGGCUGGAACGACUGCUGCCGGUUGGAAAACUUGGAAAACAUACUACCGGCAAUGUUCCAGUCCUUCCAAUUAUUCCAUAUACUGGAUAUCUUGAGGCGAUGUUCCAUCCAGUUUUCCAACCCUCGAGCCAGCAGCAGAGGGAAGAUGUCCCAUCAGCAGGUCACUAAGGGGGUGUUUCCACUUGGAUUUAAAGUCGCGGAUCAGGGUGCUUAUUGCAUAUGGAAGCAUCUUGUGGAUUUGCACGGAUUAGGGAGAUUUAGGAUGUAUUUCCAGUGCGGAUUAACGUCGUGGAGUUGGAAAUGACCGACACUCAUAUACCAGUGAAUGGUUACCACAGUAAUAGGACCCGGCGGGGGUCCGGCGCUUUGCUGGUCUUAACAGGAGUAACCCUCUGUCCUCCAUCGAUACUUGCUCAAACGGCUAAGUUGUUGGCAAACUUACCUCGACUUUCCAACCUUUGGUUCCCCUAUGGAACGAAACUAUGUGGUAAGCUCAUACCAAGGAUUUCCGUGCCCUAAUCCCUGGCCUUAAUCCGCACUGGAAAUACACCCUUAAUAACGAGCGAUGGCGAGAUUAUUGUUAGUGACCGUUGUACGCCCAUAUACGAGGUUUACGCAGAUUAAGUUUUUGAUUACUAUGCUAUAAAAUAUGCGUGUUCUUGCCAUAUGACGGAAUGCCACAUACCGGGUGAAAAAUAUUUGCUACUUAGACGGCGGCGGGACCGAGUACCCAUGGGUAAUAAUCCGAGAUUUAAAAUCUGGCUCGUACUCCUGGCCAGGAGAUUUUGAAUCUCGGAUUAUUACCACGUUUAAUGAUACCUCUAGAGAAAUGACGGAGAUUGCUAGCUUGAUGAAAGACUUUCCUUUCCAUAGCCCAGAGAUGCUUACAGCAGUUUUUAUUGCAUAUAGCACUGAUUGGGUCGGUAACCCCUAUCCCAUGGGUUACAACAAAGGGGGGCUACCCUUCGUUUUAUGCCUGGAAGUUUUGAAGCUUCGUGGCCAGACAGCAUCGUCAUGUGUUAAGCUGCUGCGGCCGCGGGUGUACUUCAGAGGGGUGGAGCAACUCGCUCGAGCGGAGCUCCGUACGGAGCUCCGUAUAGCGGGCUAUUUCAUUGGUACGACAUCGGAAGCACGAACAUGAAAUGGCAACUCGGACGCGAGUUCAACUUCUGCCGCGUAACCUUCAUCAGUCAUUAGUUAUAUAUCAUAAACAAGUUUGAGUCGAUUUUUAACUUCCCAGCUUUUCGACUGACAUAAUCCUUACGCCAGCCGGGGUUCCGCGGGAGGAAGAUUGCAGUGGUGCCAUUUCCCCAUCACGGAAGGUAGCCAUAUCACUGCUGUCACACAAGGUAGACCUGGUAGACACGUCUGUAAAAUGUUUGAUAUCUAUAGACCAUCUUUUUACAGCGGGCCUAUCUAUUAGACGAUGGCACGGUCUAUAGACCAUCUUUAUACAAUGUAUCUAUGUACGAUCUAUAUCUUGGUCGUAUCUAUUAGACGAUGACCCUGUCUGUAGACGAUCGAAGAUUUCACCGGCACACACUACUGCUGAAGGAAGGUAGCCACGUGACUGCUGCUGAAGGAAUGAAGGUAGCCAUAUAUGUAUAUACUGCAGUACUGCAGUACUAGUACUACAGUGUGGCAGCAGCUGCUGCCCGAAGCACCACUACUGAAAACGACUCCAUCUUCAAAUAAACCAACCACACAACAAGCAACAUGUAAAGGCGAGAAGACGAAUUGAACAUCAUUUUCUGCACCAUGGAGUGCACUCCCACGCCGACAGUCUGUUAACGUUAUUAGCCAUGCUUUCCCUGCACUUCCCAACCCAAAACGAUAACACUUGGACAUUGCAUGUCUUUGUUGUUGUUGUUAUUACAGCGGAAUACCAAACGUCUAUGCCUGGGAGCAAGGAAGCCGACCCAAAGGGCGCAUUGCCUGAUGCAGCGGCUGCAUGAUAACAAUAAUACGGGGCCAACAACCAUAGCAAGACGAACCCGUAUUUGCAAAAGUGUCAGCGAGGAUCCUCGACUGGUCUACAUCAGCUCUAUGUACAGGGACACAAACUCAUAUCUAAGGACAAGCUCUCAAUUUAAACGCCUUACCACCACAUCUAUCUACUCUUAAGAUUAGAUAGAUGAGAGUAGAUAGCAGCAAGCUAGCUGCUGUGCAUAGUAUACUAUGUCCACAUAGUAUGUGGACGCGAAAGGGGUGAGCGUGCAUGCUGGAGGAUCCUGUGAUGACUCAUUAAUCGCACACACAUUACCUGCUGGCACACAUUAUACAUAUUGUCCACACAUUAUACGUAUAGUGUCCAGGGUAUGUGUGUGUGUAAGUAUACAUGUGCUGUUAUCAAGUAGCUGCUAGCAAGUAGUUGCUUGCAAAUGCGCAGUGCAGUGUACGUGACACAUUACAUACCAAGCCCAGGUGGGCCAUAUGCAUACGCAUAGUCAUCGCAACGACCUGCAGCUACCGCGAUUACACUGCAAGCACGCAACCAAGGAUAUACACAUUCGCGCGCAUGUCGUCACCACCGAUCACGAAAGCUAUUAAGCAAACAAGAUCACGAGUGCCCGGCUAUGUACUUUGAUAACUCUUCGUUGAUUAUUUGACUAAGCUAUGCAGUCAGCACCGCAAACUGAGUAUAUCGCAAUGCAAAAUAAAGUGGCUGAUGGCUGCAGCAGCAGCGGUCUGCAGCUAAGGCAUAGCGGAUAAUUAAGUGAGAAUUAAGGGAAUCCUUACUCUUUCUACGUAUGUACAUGUUAUAUCUGUAUGUCCCAGAUGACGUCUGUGAAGGUUCUGUGAGCGACAGGCACACAAGCAGGUACACGUAGUAGACACAUCAUGAUGCGCUAUUAGCAUCCCAGACAAACAUAGCCAGAUAUGCAAUAUGGCUGAUUGCCGGAUGGGGACGGGACUUGCAUAGCACAAGUCUGUUUGGGCACAUGAUGUUACUGGAAAGCAAGCAAGCAUAUCUAUUUACGCAUGCAUGCACCCUUAUCUGCCCUAAGCAUGGGACGCAUGAACCUACACGCGCAAUCUGUCACAGAUGGACCUCGGUUGCAACAACUGGUUGAUGGUUUUGAUAAGAUGACGUGCAUGUUCUAUGACCCCGCCCGUGCCUGCGUGGAAGUACAUACAACCCAGGGCAUGCUUGCACUGCUGCACAUGCUCGUACAUAUGAAACAGCCUGCAAUGCACGAAUGCGCUGGGAAAUAAAAAGCAAGAUACAGCGCUCAGGCUCCAGAAACGGAUCCGUUUCAUAUCAGCACUGCCACUCAGCUCAACAGCCGCAUGCUGUAGUUAACUACAGCAUGCGGUUAUCCUCGUUGUGAGUAGUAGUAUCCUGGGUAUCACGGGAUCAGCAUCCACCAAUCCUUUCUUUUCUGAAAAAGCCGUGAUAUAACACCGAGGCAUCCGAGUAGCGCCUUCAUGUUCGUAUAGGCGUCGUCCAACAGCCGUUGAAUUCCAUGCUUGCAUGCUGGUUCAGUGAGACUUCUAAGAAUCACCCACCCACCCACCCACGCCGCCAUAAUGCAGAGCUCACGGCAUAUGCACGUACGCACUGACGCACAAAAGCAUGGUAGGCAUAUGCACCGCAUAUAGGAAACUUGAUACACACACGCGCGCACAGUCUAUCUCUGAAAGAAUGGCAAUGCAUGGACACUAUCCUUCAUGGAGUCGACGCUGCAUAGAUGUGGAUACGUACCCCAUCCUACUGGUUGAAUUACCUGCAUAAAUCUCAUUUCCACCUGCAUAGAUAAGCUGGCUAAGCAUCGCACCUUGGAUCCGCUUCACCAACCCUCACCGUGCUCCGCUUAGGCACACCUCCCCCCAAAGCAUUUACUUCGUACAUCGGUGAUAUCACCGGAUUCGGUAAACAACAGCGUAUACGCCAGCUGCUGUAACCCUAAAACGCAGAAUCAGCUGUUGUGCUGGCUGGAAUGCUUGUGUAAGAUUCACCGGCAUGCUAUAGCAACUGCGGUAUAAUACGGCACACACAUAGUCUAUAAAUGCGCACUGAAGUGCCCAGCCAGCAUCUUGAGAGGCCAUUCCAGCGACCAUCUACUAGAAUUCCACUUUUCAGAAAUUGAAAAUCAGCCUCAAAAGUGUAAGAACCCACUAAAGGGUGGCAAGGAUGGAAAGCGGAAGGAGUUAACUUAAACCCUAAUUAUAAAUCAAACCUUCCCGGAGUUCUAUCUUCACUGGUUUCAAAACGGACAAGUUGUCUUCUUUGUCAUCCCCUUCGGUUACCCCGUUCGUUUACUCCCUUCAGUUGACUUCAGCUCCCUUUUGUUUGGGGAAAGCCGAAAGAGCAACCAAAGGAGACGACAAGGAAGACAAACCAGCGGAGAUAGAACCCCGAGAAGGAUUGACUUAGGGUUUGAGUUAAUGCCUUCUCCCUAAAGACUAGAAUGUUCCGUGUAGAAUGGAAGGCCAAACCACAGAAGCGGCGGGUCUAAUCCCUUCAUACCGGAAAGUACUCUCUUGAAUCCACUACCCAAUAAUCUUAUGCGGACAUCAAGCCAGCGGGUAGCGAUGCAACGAUUGUUUUGACGGCUUUCCAUGGUCCACAUCAACGAAGUCGGCACCACAAGUUGCACAUGCAAGCAAACACCGCACACUACAUACGCAUAAGCGGGCGUACCUGCCUAGGCUAUCUUUCCUGCAUGCGUGUGCAGUUACACUAUCCCCCAUGUCCUACCUUCUCUACCUUAUUCACGACGCUAAACCUUUACGUAUGAACAAACACCAGCCUUCGGUGUCGUUGGAGUACCCACAGUCUUCAAGCAUGCAUAAGCCGAUCCGUCGUUGUUCAGGUACCAGGUGUUAAAGCUCUUGCACCUUGUGUCGGAGUUGCAACGGCUGAUGGCAUCUGUUAGGCUAAGCUGAACACAGUAAAUGUCGUCUCCGAAAUGAUCCUGGUCCGCUGCCAGUUUGUAACCCGGGACUUGAGCACAGGCUGCAGGCCGCAAGUGUAACCGGGACAAAGCAAGUCGGGAUGAUGAUUGAGUUUGCGAGCGAUUGCAAUAUGAAUUGGACGUUCAUCGGUACAGCCGUUGGGGCCCAGCUAAUAAACUCGCCUAUACUAAAUCCAACAACACAAUUAACUUUUCUUUCCGAAAUGAACAUUUCGCAGACGUAUCUUAAUAAUCCCUCGUGCAAUCCGUGUAUUCUAGCGCAGCUUAAUCCUAUCCUGGCCGUGCGUGUUCCUGUAUGUAUGUUCUACUCCACGUAGGUUAGAUGUCAUUUGUUUACAGGAGACACAUCAUAUGGGAGAUGGAGACCUGACAAUUCUCACUAGAGAAUUGCAAUUCGCGGCUCAGAAAAUAGGGAUACCGGGAUGGGAUAUAAUAGCACAAUCCCCCACGACCAAUGCCCGGACGGCUGGAGUGUUAGUGCUAGUGCGCAAAGAUCUUUAUCGCGACUUUAAAAUAAUACAAACACCGGCACGACUACUUCCGGCUAACAUUCCCCAAGGCCGUAGCGCGUCGGUUUCGUUCACGUGGUGUGGUCACCGUAUUCAUUUGAUUAAUUUGUACCUCAUGACAUCUAGUUACUCGAUAGAUCAGAGGAAGGCGUGUGUGCAUUCUCUUGGCGAUGUGGUAAAUAGGAUAGGACAGGAUGAUCAUUUGCUUUGGGCUGGAGAUUUUAAUUUUGUCCAUAAUCCGAUGCUAGAUUCCACCACAGGAGAAGGGAGUAGACCCGCGGACUUAUCCUUAGCCAAGGCUUUCUCCGAAUGCUGCCCGGAUAUGGUAGACACAUAUCGCUACCUCCACCCUACCCGUCGCGACCUUUCGUUUUUCUAUAAAACAAGUGUGUCGGGAGGGUCACGUCUUGAUCGAAUCUAUACUUCCACAAACCUCACCCCCUUCAUCGCUUCCUCUACCAUUCCAGUGUGCACUUCGACAGACCAUCGUUUAGCUAUUAUUGCUCUUUUACCUCGUCUUGUGAGAAAGCGUGGUCCAGGCCUUCCAAGGCUACACACGCAUUUCUUAGAUUUUCCUGACUUGAAGGGAAGCUUCUUGCAAUGGAUUGGUGAUGAGUGUGCGCAGAGACCCGCUGANNNNNNNNNNNNNNNNNNNNNNNNNNNNNNNNNNNNNNNNNNNNNNNNNNAGUCUUAGUAGUAGUCUUAGUAGUAGUCUUAGUAGUAGUCUUAGUAGUAGUCUUAGUAGUCUUAGUAGUAGUCUUAGUAGUCUUAGUAGUAGUAGGUACUCGUCAUCUAGGCUCAAUAGAUAGUUUAUGUUUUUGUAGGUUAUUGCCUGACUAAUGGAUGUUAUCAGCUGCUGCUUUGUGAUUGGGGAUAAUGUUUUGGGUUGGGUUUUUGGUAUAUGUGUAAAGUAUAAUAUAUGGCUGCAAUACAGGUGUAGGUACAGUCCAGAUUUCGGUAUGGACAUGGAUCGUUCAUACCAUGUUGAACACUGCCCAUCCCAUCAGCACUGGGCACAUAAGCAACAUUGGGCCAGAUCAGUAGUACGGUGGGGGACCACGUGCGAACCCCUGGUGACGAUCUGUUUUGCCACAUUACAAGCGCCAUCGUAGGGAUGUUGAGUUGUAGUGUUUGCUAGGGAGAAUGCAUGUCACUGCACAGGCAUGCAACAACACCCAGAAACGAUGCCCCAAUCUUGCAGGCGCUGUUAUUGCCCUUUGCUGCAUGUGCUUGGUGCCUGGGGAAUGCAUUUCAUUGCACAGGCAUGCAACAACACCCAGAAACGUUGCCCCAAUCUUGCAGGCGCUGUUAUUGCCUUUUGCUGCAUGUGCUUGGUGCCUGGGGAAUGCAUUUGAUUGCACAGGCAUGCAACAACACCCAGAAACGAUGCCCCAAUCUUGCAGGCGCUGUUAUUGCCUUUUGCUGCAUGUGCUUGGUGCCUGGNGAAUGCAUUUCAUUGCACAGGCAUGCAACAACACCCAGAAACGAUGCCCCAAUCUUGCAGGCGCUGUUAUUGCCUUUUGCUGCAUGUGCUUGGUGCCUGGGGAAUGCAUGUCACUGCACAGGCAUGCAACAACACCCAGAAACGUUGCCCCAAUCUUGCAGGCGCUGUUAUUGCCUUUUGCUGCAUGUGCUUGGUGCCUGGGGAAUGCAUUUGAUUGCACAGGCAUGCAACAACACCCAGAAACGAUGCCCCAAUCUUGCAGGCGCUGUUAUUGCCCUUUGCUGCAUGUGCUUGGUGCCU